CUACCACCUUAAAGUCAACCUGUUAAACUACUUGUUGUUCUCCCACAAACUCAGACACACUAACUUCAGUGCUAGCCAUGUCAUCAACAGUGACGUCUGAUAACGACAAGAAAUAAGCAUCUGGGGUGGUCUUUAUCAGUUUGGUUAGCAUUGCUCAUCUUGUUCUUACCUGUAAAGGAGAGCGCUGAGAGAAUCAACAGAAGGUGAGCUCCUGGAGAGAUGAGAAUUUCAAGGUCCAACAUUAAGAAUUGUUUCUUGGUAUUUUGUGCAAGCCUUCUGGUUGCAAGAAGCUGCCAUGGUUCUAAGCAUGUUGCCUUAUUUAUCUUUGGAGAUUCAUUAUAUGAUGCUGGAAACAAUAAGUACAUCGAAGAUGCUCCUAUCUUUUCAGAUUUCUGGCCAUAUGGAGAAACCUUCUUUAAGCAUCCCACAGGAAGGCCUUGUGAUGGUCGAUUAAUUCCAGAUUUUAUUGCUCAAUAUGCAAAUCUACCUUUAAUUCCGCCAUAUCUACAACCUGGUGACCAUCAAUUUAUGGAUGGAGAAAACUUUGAGUCCAAAGGGGAUCUUGUUCUCGCUGAAAAUCUCCAAGGAAUGGUGAUAAGCUCUGAAAUACAACAACAUCUACAAUCCAGUAGUCAUCGAUUUAUAAAUGGAGUGAACUUUGCAUCAUCUGGAGCUGGUGCUCUUGUUGAAACUCAUCAUGGAUGGGUGAUAAGCCUUAGCACUCAACUAAGCUAUUUCAAGCGUAUGAAAAGGCAGUUAAGGCUUCAACUAGGUGAAGCAGAAGCUAAAAAAUUGCUGUCCACAGCAGUUUACAUGUUCAGCAUUGGAGGCAAUGACUACUUUGCAGCUCUAACACCAACGCACAGUUUGCUUCAAUUAUAUUCAAGAGAAGAGUAUGUUGGGAUGGUUAUUGGCAAUAUAACAACAGUGAUCCAAGAAAUAUACAAGAUAGGAGGGAGGAAAUUUGGAUUGUCAACGUUGAUCGCUUUGGGUUGUCUACCAUCCUUGAGAGCAGCUAAACAGGAAAGAACAGGUGUGUCAGGCUGCUUGGAUGAAGCUACAAUGUUUGCAAAGCUACACAACAGAGCACUCCCUAAAGCACUCAAAGAGCUUGAGGGACAACUAGAAGGAUUUAGAUACUCAAUUUUUGAUGCCUACGUUGCUGGAAGGGAGAGAAUUAAUAACCCUUCAAAAUAUGGUUUCAAGGAGGUUCAAGAGGCAUGUUGUGGCAGUGGUCCUUACAGAAGCCUCCGUACUUGUGGUCAGAAAGGAUAUCAAUUAUGCGACAAUGCAAGUGAAUAUUUCUUCUUUGAUGCGGCUCAUCCAACUGAGAGUGCCAACAAUCAAUUUGCGAAGCUAAUGUGGAGUGGAAGUCUUGACAUCGUGAAGCCUUACAAUCUUAAAACACUGUUUGAGGAAUAGCCGAAAAUAGAGUUUAUUUUUAACGAAAUGCUACGUUCGUUUUCCUGCUGAUCUAUCAAUUUUCCUUUUGAUUUAUGGAGAAGUCCAACUAGCUUUGGACUUGUGUUUUUCUGGGACCUGUUUCACGGUUGUAGAUCAUGCAUGGCCAAAAUUUCUAAAUUAAAAAUUUUAAAUUCCGAGGAAUUUUAUGGUA